AAUUUAGCGGCCGCGAAUUCGCCCUUCAUGCAAGUCGAACGGAAAGGUCUCUUCGGAGACACUCGAGUGGCGAACGGGUGAGUAACACGUGGGUGAUCUGCCCUGCACUUCGGGAUAAGCCUGGGAAACUGGGUCUAAUACCGGAUAUGACCAUGAGAUGCAUGUCUUAUGGUGGAAAGCUUUUGCGGUGUGGGAUGGGCCCGCGGCUAUCAGCUUGUUGGUGGGGUCACGGCCUACCAAGGCUCCGACGGGUAGCCGGCCUGAGAGGGUGUCCGGCCACACUGGGACUGAGAUACGGCCCAGACUCCUACGGGAGGCAGCAGUGGGGAAUAUUGCACAAUGGGCGCAACCUGAUGCAGCGACGCCGCGUGGGGGAUGACGGCCUUCGGGUUGUAAACCUCUUUCACCAUCGACGAAGGUCCGGGUCUUCUCGGAUUGACGGUAGGUGGAGAAGAAGCACCGGCCAACUACGUGCCAGCAGCCGCGGUAAUACGUAGGGUGCGAGCGUUGUCCGGAAUUACUGG
rnacentral:rRNA from 1 species